UACGUAGGGUGCAAGCGUUAAUCGGAAUUACUGGGCGUAAAGCGUGCGCAGGCGGUGAUGUAAGACAGAUGUGAAAUCCCCGGGCUCAACCUGGGAACUGCAUUUGUGACUGCAUCGCUGGAGUACGGCAGAGGGGGAUGGAAUUCCGCGUGUAGCAGUGAAAUGCGUAGAUAUGCGGAGGAACACCGAUGGCGAAGGCAGCCCCCUGGGUCAAGAUUGACGCUCAUGCACGAAAGCGUGGGGAGCAAACAGG
rnacentral:rRNA from 1 species